ACUGAGAGUAUUUGGGCAAUUAAUUUAGAUCACUGGAAAAAGGAAUGAUUUCAUCCACUAGGAAAGUUAUCCAGCUUUUAGGAAAGCUCUGUAUUAUCUUCUUUUGAUGGAUAUGGGGUAUAGACAUUUGUUUUCAUAUGUAUAUUAACUUCCCCAAACUCAGAGAAAACCCAAACUCACAAAUAUUGCAUAAAUAGAUUGAAAAGCACUUAGCAUCCUAGAGAAAUACUGGUAGUAAAUUUGCAUAAAAUUCUUAAUCUAGCUUCUCUUUCUAUAAGAUAUACAAUAUUCUGAUCCUUACCAGUGUCACCACAGUCUCCCUUUAAACUCUAGAAGAGGUUAGAACAGCUAAAGCAAUUUACAGUUAAAUAACUGGCUUCUAAACAUUUUCAGCUGUGCUACAUUAAUUGUAUCUUGGCAUCCUAAUAGUGGCUCAGCACAGGUGGAGGAUCUAAAUAAAAUCGGCAAGCAUUGGUGGGGGAGGGAAUGCCUUGAGUCUCCUCUUCUUGAAGACAAUACACGUUAUUGUCAACUUUUUAUUGCCAGUGAUCACUUCAGUUCACUCCAGGAGAAGAAGAUAGGACAGUGCACUGUGAGACCACAGCCUACAUCUUACGCAGUACAACAAGGAAAUUAAAUCUCUCCUAAAGAACCGAGUGGGACAGAAACAAGCAAGAGAUUCUGCCAUAAAAUAUUCAGCUCCCUCCUCCUCUGGCUGUCAGCCCUUGGGUGCAGCACAGCCUGGGACAAAACACAAGAUAUGGCAAAAUAAGAUCUUUAAGAAAGUCAUCCCCAGCUGAGGAAAGGAUGCUAAGCUUUGGUUUAUUUCCUGUCUCACCUGAAGGCUGAAGAGGAAGAGGAAGCAUUGGAUUUGAUGAUGUACUCACUACAGCCCACCUUGUAGUGCUGAAAUUCCCAGUCCUCUUUCCGGUAGGAUAAUAGCUUGGCUGUUGCAGAAGCUCUCUCCUGUAUCCCUUCACAUGUGUAGAAGCCAUUUUCCCAUUCCCAUGUUGACUUCAAGCCCUGUGACCCAUUGUGCAAUCUGAAGAUGAGUGCCUGCCAGAGUAACUUGCCCUAUAUACAGUAUGUUGUGACCAAUAGCAUGGAGGGCCAUCCUUUCCAGGGCAUCUGGUAGGUGAUGUAAGCAGUAUUUAACAGGCUCUGGUGGGAGUUACAUGGACACUCCACCUGCA
rnacentral:lncRNA from 1 species